GACGAACGCUGGCGGCGUGCUUAACACAUGCAAGUCGAACGGUGACGCCCGAGCUUGGUCGGUCUGAUUAGUGGCGAACGGGUGAGUAACACGUGAGCAACCUGCCCUUGACUUUGGGAUAACUUCGGGAAAUUGGGGCUAAUACCGGAUAUGAGCUCCUGUCGCAUGGCGGGGGUUGGAAAGUUUUGCGGUGUAGGAUGGGCUCGCGGCCUAUCAGUUUGUUGGUGGGGUAGUGGCUUACCAAGGCGAUGACGGGUAGCCGGCCUGAGAGGGGGACCGGCCACACUGGGACUGAGACACGGCCCAGACUCCUACGGGAGGCAGCAGUGGGGAAUAUUGCACAAUGGGCGAAAGCCUGAUGCAGCGACGCCGCGUGAGGGAUGACGGCCUUCGGGUUGUAAACCGCUUUCAGCAGUGAAGAAGCGAAAGUGACGGUACCGGGAGAAGAAGCGCCGGCUAACUACGUG
rnacentral:rRNA from 1 species